GUGAGGAAUAUUGGUCAAUGGGCGGGAGCCUGAACCAGCCAAGUCGCGUGAAGGAAGAAGGAUCUAUGGUUCGUAAACUUCUUUUGCAGGGGAAUAAAGUGCAGGACGUGUCCUGUUUUGUAUGUACCCUGAGAAUAAGGAUCGGCUAACUCCGUGCCAGCAGCCGCGGUAAUACGGAGGAUCCGAGCGUUAUCCGGAUUUAUUGGGUUUAAAGGGUGGGUAGGUGGUUUGAUAAGUCAGCGGUGAAAGUUUGCAGCUUAACUGUAAAAAUGCCGUUGAAACUGUCGGACUUGAGUGUAAAUGAGGUAGGCGGAAUGCGUGGUGUAGCGGUGAAAUGCAUAGAUAUCACGCAGAACUCCGAUUGCGAAGGCAGCUUACUAAGCUACAACUGACACUGAAGCACGAAAGCGUGGGGAUCAAACAGGAUUAGAUACCCGAGUAGUCC
rnacentral:rRNA from 1 species